AUGGUUGUCGUCAGCUCGUGCCGUGAGGUGUCGGUUAAGUCCCAUAACGAGCGCAACCCUUACUGUUAGUUGCCAGCGGGUCAAGCCGGGAACGUCUAACGGGACUGCCACCGUAAGGUGGAGAGGAAGGUGGGGGAUGACGUCAAAUCAGCACGGCCCUUAUGUCCAGGGCUACACACGUGUUACAAUGGUCGGUACAAAGGGCAGCUACACCGCGAGGUGAUGCUAAUCUCUAAAGCCGGUCUCAGUUCGGAUCGAAGUCUGCAACCCGACUUCGUGAAGUUGGAUUCGCUAGUAAUCGCGCAUCAGCCAUGGCGCGGUGAAUACGUUCCCGGGCCUU
rnacentral:rRNA from 1 species